rnacentral:tRNA from 1 species
GCCUUCGUGGUGUAAUGGUGAACACACUCGGUGUGUAUUCGAGAGGUCCGAGGUUCGAGCCCCUGCGAGGGCA